rnacentral:lncRNA from 1 species
AUGCCCACCCUGUCCAAGGAGUCGGGCAUCGAAACCCAAGAACCAAACCCAAAUAAAGCGCCGGACCCGCGGCUGACCUCAGUCCCGCGGCGCGAAGACCGCGCGCGGCGCCCCGCGGAGCGGCCGACUCGGGGUCCGCAGAGCCCCGGCGCUCCCGGCGGCGUCUCCGCGCAGAGCCGGCCGGAUGCUCACACCAGCUCCGCGCGGGCCCCCACCCGGUCCACGCGCCGGGGGGCUCCCGGGGGGCCGCUCGACCCCGCCCCCGCCCCACAGCCCGCCUCCCCGCCGCCCCACAGCGCACACGGCGGCCGCGGCCUGCUCUCGCGCGACGCCCGGAGCCGGCGGAGAGACGGCGGGCCCCUCGGCGCGGCCCCCCGGGAGCUCCCCGCGCCCGCGCCCCGCCGCGCCCCCACCUACCCGGGGCUUGGGCCGCGUUCCGGCCGCGUCGGGCUGGGGAUUGGGGCCUGGCGUCCGGGACGAGGCAGCGCGUCUCCGCUCGGCGCAUCCGGGGCCGCGGGCGGACGAAGCGGCGGCGCGCCCGCUACGGCGAGCCGGAAGGGACGCGCCCGCGCCCGCGCCCGCAGCUGCGCGUCGGCGGCCGGCGUGACGUCAGCGGGGCGGGAGGCGUCGAGACGGCCGGGAGGGCUAGAGAGGCCGUGCGAGGGCGCGGGCCGAUGGGUCCGCGGCGGAGCGGGGGCGUUGCGCGAGGAGCGUUGCGAGGGCGGGGCGCGGCCGUGCGCUCGCUCCUCCCGCGGGAGCGCGCGGUGGGCUCGGCUACCGGUCCGGGAGGGGUCGGUGAGCCGCCCGCCCCCGAAGGCGGGGUCAGGUGCCGGCUGCGGUGGCAACAGGCAGGCGCCGCGACCGCGGGCGCCCGGACGGAGGGUCGGGGCGGAGGGCGUGCUGCGAGCGGGGCCUGCGGCCGGGAGGGCGGGCUGCGGCUCGGGGCCGCGGGCUGGGAGCCGAGCAGAGGGCGUGCAGCGCGGGAAGCCGUCUCCCUCGAAAAUGGCUUGGCUUUUCAACGAGCGGGGCUGGGAAGUGGGCGUCCGCCUGGAGAAGAGUGAGGGUGCACCCCACCUCUCACCACGGGCGCGUGUGAACUCAAAAUGGAUCAAAGACCUAAAUGCAAGCGCUAGAAUUACGCAAUUCUAA